AGGAAACGUGCCUGAAGAUAAAGGGCCACUUUGAUAGAGUGGAUCAUGGAGACUAAAACCCUCCCGCUUCCUU
rnacentral:tRNA from 1 species